AAAUCCUCCCAAUAAGUGCGGCAUGGUUCAGCCCAGAGAUAUGACUGAAGAGAACCUGAAGCAAUAGCCUUGAUGGGUGUGAUCAGCCGCUCUUCGUCAGGGGAAUUAACACAUUCACUGCUGCUCCAAGCAGCAGGGCAGCACACAGGGAAUUGGAGCAGGCUGCAGUCGCUCACCAAAGCGAGCCAGCAAAAAUAAUCUGCAGCUCUCUAUUCCUGUCAUAUGUCACUUGUCCCACCCCCUUCUGUUUCUUUUUAGUGGUUUCUCGGCGUACGGAAUCACUGUGCAAUAAGAAGAAAAACACAGUUCCCUCUUUUCUGCAGUUAAUCUGUUAGGAAAGAAGUAAACCCUGCAACAGUGUGCGGGUGAGGCAGAGGAAAUCACUCAGUGCACAGGGCUCAGAUACACCCAAGUCUGACAACAGUUUCCCAGCUGAUCCAGUGGCGUGCCUGCAGCCGUGCAGAGGCAGCUUUGCCAAGCAGGCACAGCCAGCAGGCUUUAAAAAUAGUCAGGGAGAUGUUGAUAGUUACAGUAUCCCAUAGCGAUUGUACACAUAUUUCAGUAGGCAAGCUUGCUUAAUUACAGCCUUGCUUCUUCACCUAUCAUUCAGACCCUGGAAAAUAUCCAACUGUUUUCUCUUCUUGGGUUUUCCCAAUGUUGCUAAACUGAACAAGAAGCAGAACCUGUGCAGCUCAGCCAGCGCUGUUUGCUUUGUGGUGGUUCCCCACUGCCUGCGCUCUGCCCUGGCCCUCACUCCCUCUACCCUGCAGUGAGGGAGAGUUUUGAGAAUAACUCGUCUAUCCACUGGUGUCACCAGCUGUACUGUAUCCACUGGUGUCUGUUUGUAUGCAGUCUUCUAUUGGUCUUCACCUGGUUUUGCAUCAGAGCAAAUUCCUCAGAGACAUCUGGCACUAUGUGACUGAAAACAAUAUGCAGUGAAAGGCUUCGGAAGAACUCCCACUUUGUUGCACUGAUUUCUUGUGAAUAACCGAUACCUAAAACAUUGGAAAAUUAAGAUGACUGUGAUAAUAGCAACAAUAAGAAGGUUUCUGAGGCGUUGCACACUUUCAGAGCACUGUGCAAACAAGGAUUAAGAUGUAUGGAUCAAUACCACCCUGCACUUGACUGUCCAUAGUCUGAUGAAGCCCCAGCAUCUGCAGAGCCAUGAAGAUCUUUUAAUAGAUCAGAAACUUCAGCUAUCAGAGACGCCAUCGCUGUGGGAGGUGGUUGCAAUCCUUGUGGGAGGCAGCUGUCAUGGCACGAACACUGCCUGCAUUCUGCUACUGCCGCCUCAGGAGGCAGCAGCGUGCCCACAGGCCCCAGACGCAGUGACGCUGAGACCAGGGGGCUACAACCUGGAACCCACUUGAAAUAUCAUUGAGGAAAAAAGGAUCUGAGCUGUGCAUUUUUCAGGGGUCGCAGAGUGCAAACACACAUGUAUUGACACAAGAGAAAUGUAACUGGCUCUACAGCAAUGCUUUUCCAGUAAACAAGAAGCAGAGGAACUGGAGGAAGAAUCGCUUUCUGUUGUGUGCUCAGCCACGCUUUCUCCCUACUUCCAGACUCACCGUGAUGCACACGUUUCCACAACUGCACAUUUCAGAAGGAUGAAGGCAAGCUCUCAGUUUGUAGUAAGCAGCAAAUUAAACUAUUUCAUAUCCAGAA